AGGACUCCCGUUACAGUUUUGCACAGGGCCCUGAAAAUCUCAGGACCGGCCCUGGAUCUGAGUUGUUACCUUUAGAAAGUUGUCUGACAUUUGUUGCCUUCAUAGAAACAGGGACGGGUAUGAAAUAAGAUACAAGAAAAGAGGAAACAUUUCGUCAAAAGAAGAGAGGUGGAAUCUAACAAUGAGAAUCAGACCCUGCCGAGCAAAGAAAAAUGUGAACUUGCUUUGGAAGGAGUAGAUUCCCAGGAACACUCGGAUAAGAUCGCAAUGCUUGUGGAUGAUGAAGAGCUGGAGCUGAGAGAAUUACAAGGAAGCCCAAAUGCACUGGGGUUCUCUGAUCAUUUUACUACUAAUGGAGAUCAUGCCUGUUCACUUGGCAAAGAUUUGCUGGCCAAGUUUCCUCCAAAUUCUGUGAAGAUGAAGCAGCCAUUCUGUAUGCAACCUAGGGAUUCUUCUCUAAAGAUUGUCAAGAAACUGUUUAAGGUGUGUGAAUUGCAAACUGUUUGUGGCCUGAUUUUGUUAAGUUCUUUUGCAAAUAUAGGACAUCGUUCGUGAAAGAUGUCAUACACUCCAUCUAUGCUUGCAUUUGCUUCACUGCCACAGAAAUGAGUAUAAAACUUCACAGAAGUAAAAAGAUCGUAGCAUAGAACAUCGAAUCAUAUGACUGUGUAAUGAGAAGACUCAACUGAUUCAUACCUCCCAGCACAAAGAAGCAUCAAACGUCUCUUUGACAAAAGCUUCCACUUUCGAUCCUUCAUCCUGCAGAGAGUUAGUGUCAUCCACAUAGAUAAACAUGUACUUUCACUUGGAUCAUACAACUGACAAGCAAAACUUAUUUCAAUCAGCACACAAACAUUCAUGUUGUGAAUAAUCACAAUUAUCACUUGAGCUA